GUUGGUGGCCGCCUGCACCUGCCGCCUGUCCCCAGCCCCAGAGUCCUCUCCUGGCCCGGGGAGCCUAGGUGGCACGCGCGGCCAUCUCCCGCCGUCGCCUAGGGCGGCCUAAGGACCCUGCCUGCGCCCGGGCGCCAGACCAUGGUGGGCAGCUGCGACCCAGAGCCACAGCCACCGCGAGCCGACGUCGCCCUCCACCAGCCCCCGCCCCACCCGAGCGGACGCGCGGGGGCUCGCAGCGCUCGGUCACUUCCUUCCACGGCUGGGAUGGGCGGCGCGGGACCGAGCGAGCGGCCCAGCGGCGGCCGGGUAACCCCUAUCUGAGCUGCGGCCGGGAGCUGCCGACCGCCGGGGCGUGAGAGCCUGGGGUCCCGGAGGCGCAGCGAUGACCUGAUCCCAAGCCCGCCAGGGCGCCCGUCCCUCGCAGCCCAGCUCGCUUGGAGCCUGUGCGGAGACCGGCUCGGUGCGGCGGCUCGGGCGCACGGUGGCGGGGAGCUCCGGUGAAAGGCGUGUGGGCGCCGAGGACACCUUCGGCAGCUCUGCCUUUGGAGGGGCUUCUGUAAACUACUGAGUCAUUCCAGAUUUAGGAUUUCCUAAAUAAUCACCAACUGUGCCCGUCUCGUGCCGGAACGCAGGCAGUGAGAGCGGGAGAGCCCGCUUUCCGGACCCCGCCGAUCCCCGGGGUGCUUGGCCCUCGAGGAUCUCCCUCCCUCCCGUUGUCCCUCCCCCUCCCUCGUCUCCCGCUCUCUUUGCAGUGCUGCCGGAGGAGAGGCGCGCUCACCGCAGCUGGAAACAGCUGCCACCCCUCUCCAACCCCCCGCCCUGCUCCCCUACCCCGUGUCUGGUUAAUCGCUCCCACUUUUCGCCUCUUGGAAUUCCAGAAGUGGGGAGGCCGGCCCCCGGAGAACCGCAGCCGGGGCGAUGCAUUUCGUAGACCUCACCCAGCCGGGACGGACCUCCUAAUCUUCAGAACCGCGGGCCACAGGGAGUUAAAUUGCUGCCUUCCUCUUCUCUGUCGCGG
rnacentral:lncRNA from 1 species